rnacentral:pre_miRNA from 1 species
GAUCAGAUUCUGCAAGAUUCCAAGUAUGCAGGUCCCUUGGAAUCUUGCAGAAUCUGAUCAU